UCAACGUCAUGUCCGUCGUGGACCAGGUGACAUCGACGGUGCCGCUGCCCGUCAUGCUCAUGAUGAACGCCCUGCGCGCCGGGGAGCUCCCCGACGGCGUCGCCUUGCUCCAGAUCAUGCCGUGCAGCGAGCACGGGGUCGAACCCGCGGGGCAGCGCAUCUUCUCCCUGUGGCAGGGCGCCGACGUCGACGCCGUCGCCGCCGCCGUGGAGGCUCUCAUCGGCGACGACUGCACCAGCACGUGCUUCCCCGUCAUGGAAGAUCACAUGUACGGGGUCGGGCGCGAGAGCGUCGAGGAGAAGACCGCGAGGCUGGCGCGCAAGGCGGGCGCCAACCUCCUCGCGUUCGACAAGCGCGUCGGCAUCUCGGCCACCGUCACCGCCGCCGCGGUGGCCACCGUCACGAAGGUCAAGUCCCUGUCCGCGCCCAAGCAACCCAGGGAUGGCGACGGCGCCGAGCCCGACCCCAACGCCGCCCCGGACAAGACCUCGCUCAAGUACGUCCAAGAGAACGUCUCCAAGGAGUUCCAAAAGGUCAACGAGGAGGUGCUCAAGCCCGCGGCGGAGGCCACGACGAAGGCGGCGACGGACACGUGGAACACGGUGUCCACAGCCGUGG
rnacentral:lncRNA from 1 species